GAUGAACGCUGGCGGCGUGCCUAAUACAUGCAAGUCGAGCGAACGGACGAGAAGCUUGCUUCUCUGGUGUUAGCGGCGGACGGGUGAGUAACACGUGGAUAACCUACCUAUAAGACUGGGAUAACUUCGGGAAACCGGAGCUAAUACCGGAUAAUAUUUUGAACCGCAUGGUUCAAAAGUGAAAGACGGUCUUGCUGUCACUUAUAGAUGGAUCCGCGCUGCAUUAGCUAGUUGGUAAGGUAACGGCUUACCAAGGCAACGAUGCAUAGCCGACCUGAGAGGGUGAUCGGCCACACUGGAACUGAGACACGGUCCAGACUCCUACGGGAGGCAGCAGUAGGGAAUCUUCCGAAAUGGGCGAAAGCCUGACGGAGCAACGCCGCGUGAGUGAUGAAGGUCUUCGGAUCGUAAAACUCUGUUAUUAGGGAAGAACAUAUGUGUAAGUAACUGUGCACAUCUUGACGGUACCUAAUCAGAAAGCCACGGCUAACUACGUG
rnacentral:rRNA from 1 species